CUGCACUCUGGGACAAGCCCUGGAAACGGGGUCUAAUACCGGAUAUGACUGUCCAUCGCAUGGGGGAUGGUGUAAAGCUCCGGCGGUGCAGGAUGAGCCCGCGGCCUAUCGGCUUGUUGGUGAGGUAGUGGCUCACCAAGGCGACGACGGGUAGCCGGCCUGAGAGGGCGACCGGCCACACUGGGACUGAGACACGGCCCAGACUCCUACGGGAGGCAGCAGUGGGGAAUAUUGCACAAUGGGCGAAAGCCUGAUGCAGCGACGCCGCGUGAGGGAUGACGGCCUUCGGGUUGUAAACCUCUUUCAGCAGGGAAGAAGCGAAAGUGACGGUACCUGCAGAAGAAGCGCCGGCUAACUACGUGCCAGCAGCCGCGGUAAUACGUAGGGCGCAAGCGUUGUCCGGAAUUAUUGGGCGUAAAGAGCUCGUAGGCGGCUUGUCACGUCGGUUGUGAAAGCCCGGGGCUUAACCCCGGGUCUGCAGUCGAUACGGGCAGGCUAGAGUUCGGUAGGGGAGAUCGGAAUUCCUGGUGUAGCGGUGAAAUGCGCAGAUAUCAGGAGGAACACCGGUGGCGAAGGCGGAUCUCUGGGCCGAUACUGACGCUGAGGAGCGAAAGCGUGGGGAGCGAACAGGAUUAGAUACCCUGGUAGUCCACGCCGUAAACGGUGGGCACUAGGUGUGGGCAACAUUCCACGUUGUCCGUGCCGCAGCUAACGCAUUAAGUGCCCCGCCUGGGGAGUACGGCCGCAAGGCUAAAACUCAAAGGAAUUGACGGGG
rnacentral:rRNA from 1 species